UACAAACUACAUGCCACAGUGCCCCCCAGGGCUGCGUGAGUUCAGCUGUGCUCUUUACUCUCUACACUGAUGAUUGUCGUACCAACACACCA